CCCGGCCCAGGCUGGCCCCGGCGGCUGGAGGGGGCCGGGUGGCGGGGGCGCCCCAGCCUCCAAGUGGGCGCCCAAGGCGGGUUGGGAAGUGGCAGAACAAGCCCCGGCUGCCGACAUCGGUUCGAUUUUCUGGCCAGCCUCUCGCUCUCGGGUGUGACUUAGGCGCUCCUUGCCUCAGUCUGGUCAUCAGUAAAAUGGACGCGACAUUACAAGCUGCAGUAACCCAUUACUGGGCUACAGAGCAGCUGGGGUCAUUACAUAUUUAGACUGUCGGGCAUCACUUUGUGCUCUGACUCGGUUUGAUCUUGUAUCUUUGAGCAAACUUUAUAAUCUCACCGCGACUCAGUUACCCCAUCUGUUAAAGUAGCAAGGACGUCUCACCUCUCCGGUGGUUUGAAGAUUCCACGAAUCAGUAGUGAGACAACAGCUGGCAUGCCUCAGGGGUCUGCCCUCUGCCCCAUCAAGGACCAGAGGGACUGUGGGAAGUUUUCUUCGUGGCCUGAACCAUGUAGGGUGGGGAGUGUAAGCGCCCCUCGAAAUAAGAUCUUUGUUCCCCAAUCAGAGAUUGAACCCAGUGGAAGCAUGGAGUCCCAAACCACUGAUCGGCCAGAGCAGCCCCCAGGGACUUUUCUGGUGGUCUAGCAGCCAAGAUUCUGAGCUUUCACUGCACGGGAUGCUGGUUCGAUACCAGGUCGGGGAACUAAGAU
rnacentral:lncRNA from 1 species